AGAGUUUGAUUCUGGCUCAGAACGAACGCUGGCGGCGUGGAUAAGACAUGCAAGUCGAACGAGAGAAUUGCUAGCUUGCUAAUAAUUCUCUAGUGGCGCACGGGUGAGUAACACGUGAGUAACCUGCCCCCGAGAGCGGGAUAGCCCUGGGAAACUGGGAUUAAUACCGCAUAGUAUCGAAAGAUUAAAGCAGCAAUGCGCUUGGGGAUGGGCUCGCGGCCUAUUAGUUAGUUGGUGAGGUAACGGCUCACCAAGGCGAUGACGGGUAGCCGGUCUGAGAGGAUGUCCGGCCACACUGGAACUGAGACACGGUCCAGACACCUACGGGUGGCAGCAGUCGAGAAUCAUUCACAAUGGGGGAAACCCUGAUGGUGCGACGCCGCGUGGGGGAAUGAAGGUCUUCGGAUUGUAAACCCCUGUCAUGUGGGAGCAAAUUAAAAAGAUAGUACCACAAGAGGAAGAGACGGCUAACUCUGUGCCAGCAGCCGCGGUAAUACAGAGGUCUCAAGCGUUGUUCGGAAUCACUGGGCGUAAAGCGUGCGUAGGCUGUUUCGUAAGUCGUGUGUGAAAGGCGCGGGCUCAACCCGCGGACGGCACAUGAUACUGCGAGACUAGAGUAAUGGAGGGGGAACCGGAAUUCUCGGUGUAGCAGUGAAAUGCGUAGAUAUCGAGAGGAACACUCGUGGCGAAGGCGGGUUCCUGGACAUUAACUGACGCUGAGGCACGAAGGCCAGGGGAGCGAAAGGGAUUAGAUACCCCUGUAGUCCUGGCAGUAAACGGUGCACGCUUGGUGUGCGGGGAAUCGACCCCCUGCGUGCCGGAGCUAACGCGUUAAGCGUGCCGCCUGGGGAGUACGGUCGCAAGAUUAAAACUCAAAGAAAUUGACGGGGACCCGCACAAGCGGUGGAGUAUGUGGCUUAAUUCGAUGCAACGCGAAGAACCUUACCUGGGCUUGACAUGUAAUGAACAACAUGUGAAAGCAUGCGACUCUUCGGAGGCGUUACACAGGUGCUGCAUGGCCGUCGUCAGCUCGUGUCGUGAGAUGUUUGGUUAAGUCCAGCAACGAGCGCAACCCCUGUUGCCAGUUACCAGCACGUGAAGGUGGGGACUCUGGCGAGACUGCCCAGAUCAACUGGGAGGAAGGUGGGGACGACGUCAGGUCAGUAUGGCCCUUAUGCCCAGGGCUGCACACGUACUACAAUGCCCAGUACAGAGGGGGCCGAAGCCGCGAGGCGGAGGAAAUCCUAAAAACUGGGCCCAGUUCGGACUGUAGGCUGCAACCCGCCUACACGAAGCCGGAAUCGCUAGUAAUGGCGCAUCAGCUACGGCGCCGUGAAUACGUUCCCGGGUCUUGUACACACCGCCCGUCACAUCAUGGAAGCCGGUCGCACCCGAA
rnacentral:rRNA from 1 species